GGGGAAUAUUGGGCAAUGGACGCAAGUCUGACCCAGCAACGCCGCGUGAAGGAAGAAGGCUUUCGGGUUGUAAACUUCUUUGACAGGGGAAGAGUAGAAGACGGUACCCUGAAAACAAGCCACGGCUAACUACGUGCCAGCAGCCGCGGUAAUACGUAGGUGGCAAGCGUUGUCCGGAUUUACUGGGUGUAAAGGGCGUGCAGCCGGGCCGACAAGUCAGAUGUGAAAUCCCGAGGCUUAACCUCGGAACUGCAUUUGAAACUGUUGGUCUUGAGUAUCGGAGAGGUCAUCGGAAUUCCUUGUGUAGCGGUGAAAUGCGUAGAUAUAAGGAAGAACACCAGUGGCGAAGGCGGAUGACUGGACGACAACUGACGGUGAGGCGCGAAAGCGUGGGGAGCGAAC
rnacentral:rRNA from 1 species